AUAUAUUGGGCCUAAAGGCCCAUUAGUGAACUGUAAAGUAAAAUUUCCAUUAUUUUUUUAAGACAUAUUUCCUUUUUUUCUCUUUAGGCGGUGGUGGUCAUAAAACCAGGCCUAUAUAUAUAUGUGUAGCGACUCUGUUUCGUUUUUCCCAGAGACCUACGAAUCCUUCGGCUGCGAUCUCUAGGGUUGUUUCCUUUUUGUAGCCGCUGGAUUGUUUACCAAUUGGCGUAGGUUUCGUUACUUUGGUUUUCGAUUUAGGGUUGAUCGUUAACAAAUAAAAAUUGGAGGUGCAUGAUGAUAUUCGGAUCUAAAUCGGUGUAUACAAAUGCCUCGGCUCAGGAAAAGAAUGGUGGUGGUGCAUCCGAUUUGGUCCUGAAUCGUUUAAUACAAAUCCCUCGGUGUCCCGGUAAGAGAAUUAUGGUGGUGCAUAAUAAUUGGUCCCGCGCGAACCUCUGUUAAAAAAACCCUUAUUGGGAAAGACCGAAAGAGUGUGGUGCAUGAUACGUUGGUCCGAGAUUGUUCAAUAGUUGCCUUGGUUAAAAACCAGAUCGGUAUAAAAAGCCUCGGUUACAAAUAAAUUGGUGGUAGUGCAUACUAUUUGGUCCCGAUUCUAUUCAAAUGCCUCUGUUAAAAACCCAUUCUAAGUUUAUCUCGGUAAGCUUAUGAUUGGGAAAAUUAUCUUGGUAAGCUUAUGAGUGUGGUCCCUGAUCCCUUUUGCUAUUCAAAUGCCUCUGUUAAAGAAACCCAUUCUUGCUUAUCACAAUAAGCUUAUGAUUGGGAAAAGAGUGUGGUGCAUGAUAAUACUUAGUCCCGAUUCUAUUCAAAUGCCUCUGUUAAAACCCAAUUCUAAGCUUAUCUCGGUAAGUUUGUGAUUGGGAAAAGAGUGUGGUGCAUGAUACUUGGUCCCGAUUCUAUUCAAAUGCCUCGGUCAAAAACCCAUUCUAAGCUUAUAAUUGUGAUAAGCUUAUGAUUGGGAAAGAGUUGUGGUGCAUGCAUGAUACUUGGUCCCAGUCCCAGUUUGUUCUAACAAUUGCCUUACUUAAACAGGCUUAUAAAUGAUUAAGGGUAUGGUGCAUGAUACUCUGUCCCGGAUUCUUUAUUUGAAUGCCUUGGUUAAAAGGUAAAAAAAAACCUAUUGGAAGCUAAUCUUAAUAAGCAUGGGAAUGUGAUAAGAGUGUGGUGCAUGAUACUUGGUCCCGGAUUGUCCGUACAAAUGCCUCUGUUAAAAUCCUAAUUGUAAGCUAAACUUAUAAAUGGGAAAGAGUAUGGUUGGUUCAUGAUACUAUGUCUGGAUGGUCUAUACAAAUGCCUCGGUUAAAAAACAUGUGGUAAGCUCAUAACAAGGUUAUGAUUGGGAAAGAGUGUGGUGCAUGAUACUUGGUCCCAUAUUGUACAAAAACAGUUGCUUGGUUUGCAAGCUAAUUUCAAUGCGUUCAUAAAAUGAAAAAGAGAUGGUGCAUGAUAUACUUUGGUCCCAGAUUCACUAUUUAGAUGCCUUGGUUAAAAAGUAAAACCCAUUGUAAGCUAUUGGAAGCUAAUCUUAAUAAGCUAGGAAUGUGAAAGAGUGUGGUGCAUGAUAGUCGGUCCCGGUUUAUCAAUACAAAUGCCUCUGUUCAAAUCCCAAUUGUAAGCUAAGCUUAUAAAUGGGAAAGAGUAUGGUUGGUUCAUGAUACUAGGUCCGGAUUGGGAAAGAGUAUGGUUGGUUCUUGAUACUAGGUCCGGAUUACAAAUGCCUCGGUAAAAACCCCAUAAGCUAAUCGUAAUAAGCAUAUGAUUGGAAAGAGUGUGGUGCAUGAUACUUGGUCCCAGUCCCAGAUUGUUCUAAAAAUUACCUUUGGUUAAAUACCAGAUUGCAAGCUGAUGUUAAUAAGCUUUUACACAUGAAAAUGAUUAUGGUGCAUGAUACUAGAUCCCUGAUUCUCUAGUCAAAUGCCUUGGUUAAGCUUGGGAAUGUGAAAGAGUGUGGUGCAUGAUACUUGGUCUCGGAUUGUCAGUACAAAUGCCUCGGUUAAAACCCUACUGUAAGCUAAGCUUAUAAAUGGGGAAGAGUAUGGUUGGUUCAUGAUACUAGGUCCGGAUUGUAAAAAAAAACUGUUGUAAGCUAGUCAUAACAAGCUUGUGUAAAGAGUGUGGUGCAUGAUACUUGGUCCCAGUCCCAUAUUGUUAAAACAAUUGCCUUGGUUAAAAACCAUAUUGCAAGCUAAUAUCAAUAAGCUUUUGUAAAUGAGCUUGGGAAGGGGAAAGAGUGUGGUGCAUGAUACUUGGUCCCGGAUUGUCCGUACAAAUCCCAUUGUAAGCUAAUCAUAUGAACGGGAACUGGUAUGGUGCAUGAUACUUUGAUUCCUGAUCGUCUAUUCAAGUGCCUCAGUUAAAAGAACGCAUCCUAAGCCAAUAGGUGAAUGCUGUUGCAUGGCACUUUGUCCCAAAUUGUCUAUUCAAAGGGCACGACUCCGUUAAAAAAACCAUUACAAGUUCAUCAAGAGCUUAUGAAUGGGAAGGUGUAGAUGGUGGUGCAUGCAGAGCCGGCCCUUCACACAGGCAGAUGAAGCAUCUGCUUGUGGCCUCCAAAUUAUAUAGUUGAUAUUCGGCCGAAUUUUUCUGAAAGUUUCAUUGGUUUUACUGGUUAAGACUAAGAGUUACUCUUCCAAGGGUCAAGGGAUCGAAUCUCCAUUUCAUUUUUUUUCUGUUUUUCAAGUCUUUUUCAAAAAAAGUAAUGUAUAGUAGGCCAAAAAAAAAAAUGGGCUUGUGGCCUUAAUAUCUUCAGAGCCGGCUCUGGGUGCAUGAUAUUUGGUCCCGAGAAGAUUAUAAAAUUGCCUCAGAUCAUCAAGAACUGAUGAAUAGGACAAAGAUGCAUGAUACUCUGAUCCAAAUGUCCAUAAAAAUGCCUCAUUGGUUAUAAGAUCCAUACUGUCAAGCUGAUUAAUGGAAAAAGGGUGGAUGGUGGUGCAUGAUACUUGGUCCCGAACUGUCUAUAAGCAUCGGGUUCGGCUAAAAAUCAAUCAUAAGCUCAUUUGAGCUUUAUGAGUGGUGGUGCAUGAUAGGAAUAUGUUUCGUCUUGAUUUAUCAAAUGCCUCGGCUCGGCUUAAAGUCCUUAUACUCAUAGGGAGCUUAUGAAUGGUAAAUGGUGGUGCAUGAUUGGAACUAUGUCCCGUGUUCAUUUAUAAAAAUGCCUCGACUCGGUGAAAAACUCUUGAUAAGCUAAGCGAAGUUUAAGAAUGAGAGAAAGCCAGAAAGGUGGAUGGCGGUGCAUGAUAACUAGUGGAGAGAGGGGUUAUUUGAUAAUGAUCAGCUAUAACACAUCACAAGUAAUUGGAGACUAAUGCGUGAGAAAAGGGUUUAAACCAAUUCUUUUGGUAGAAUUCAAAUGGUCUUAAUUCUAGAUGGUGUUGUCAACAUGUUAAUCUUAAUCUCUAAAACUAUUUAGAAUUUGCAUGCUACUUUCAUAUUUUGUAAAAAGAGACUGAUUUUCUAAAAAUGGUUGUUAUAUUGUGCAGGUAAUAAAGGUAUUUGAUCUUGGAGCAACAGAAAUACGAGAAGUUUCUUCCUCGUAGUCGUUUAUUGAUCCAUGUAAGGUU
rnacentral:lncRNA from 1 species